UACAGAGGGUGCAAGCGUUUGUUCGGAAUUACUGGGCGUAAAGCGCGUGUAGGCGGCGGCGUUAAGUCGGAUGUGAAAUCCCUUGGCUUAACCAAGGAAGUGCAUCCGAUACUGCGUCGCUUGAGUGCCGGAGGGGAUGGCGGAAUUCCCGGUGUAGAGGUGAAAUUCGUAGAUAUCGGGAGGAACACCUGUGGCGAAGG
rnacentral:rRNA from 1 species